UACGAAGGGGGCUAGCGUUGCUCGGAAUCACUGGGCGUAAAGCGCACGUAGGCGGGUCUUUAAGUCGGAGGUGAAAUCCUGGAGCUCAACUCCAGAACUGCCUUCGAUACUGAGGAUCUCGAGUCCGGGAGAGGUGAGUGGAACUGCGAGUGUAGAGGUGAAAUUCGUAGAUAUUCGCAAGAACACCAGUGGCGAAGGCGGCUCUCUGGGACGGUACUGACGCUGAGACGCGAAAGCGUGGGGAGCGAACAGG
rnacentral:rRNA from 1 species